rnacentral:rRNA from 1 species
GUAAGCACAUGCAAGCCGAGCGGUAGAGAUUCUUCGGAAUCUUGAGAGCGGCGUACGGGUGCGGAACACGUGUGCAACCUGCCUUUAUCAAGGGGAUAGCCUUUCGAAAGGAAGAUUAAUACCCUAUAAUAUAUGAUUCGGCAUCGGAUUAUAUUGAAAACUACGGUGGAUAAAGAUGGGCACGCGCAAGAUUAGCUAGUUGGUGAGGUAACGGCUCACCAAGGCGACGAUCUUUAGGGGGCCUGAGAGGGUGAUCCCCCACACUGGUACUGAGACACGGACCAGACUCCUACGGGAGGCAGCAGUGAGGAAUAUUGGACAAUGGGUGGAAGCCUGAUCCAGCCAUCCCGCGUGUAGGAAGACGGCCCUAUGGGUUGUAAACUACUUUUAUCUGGGGAUAAACCUACUUACGUGUAAGUAGCUGAAGGUACCAGAUGAAUAAGCACCGGCUAACUCCGUGCACC